UACUCCUACGGGAGGCAGCAGUGGGGAAUAUUGCGCAAUGGGGGCAACCCUGACGCAGCCAUGCCGCGUGAAUGAAGAAGGCCUUCGGGUUGUAAAGUUCUUUCGGUAGCGAGGAAGGCAUUUAGUUUAAUAGACUAGGUGAUUGACGUUAACUACAGAAGAAGCACCGGCUAACUCCGUGCCAGCAGCCGCGGUAAUACGGGGGGUGCAAGCGUUAAUCGGAAUAACUGGGCGUAAAGGGCACGCAGGCGGUGACUUAAGUGAGAUGUGAAAGCCCCGAGCUUAACUUGGGAAUUGCAUUUCAUACUGGGUCGCUAGAGUACUUUAGGGAGGGGUAGAAUUCCACGUGUAGCGGUGAAAUGCGUAGAGAUGUGGAGGAAUACCGAAGGCGAAGGCAGCCCCUUGGGAAUGUACUGACGCUCAUGUGCGAAAGCGUGGGGAGCAAACAGGAUUAGAUACCCUGGUAGUCCACGCUGUAAACGAUGUCGAUUUGGGGAUUGGGCUUUGAGCUUGGUGCCCGUAGCUAACGUGAUAAAUCGACCGCCUGGGGAGUACGGCCGCAAGGUUAAAACUCAAAUGAAUUGACGGA
rnacentral:rRNA from 1 species